GACGAACGCUGGCGGCGUGCUUAACACAUGCAAGUCGAACGGAAAGGCCCUGCUUUUGUGGGGUGCACGAGUGGCGAACGGGUGAGUAACACGCGAGUAACCUGCCCUUGACUUUGGGAUAACUUCAGGAAACUGGGGCUAAUACCGGAUAGGAGCUCCUGCUGCACGGUGGGGGUUGGAAAGUUUCGGCGGUUUGGGAUGGACUCGCGGCUUAUCAGCUUGUUGGUGGGGUAGUGGCUUACCAAGGCUUUGACGGGUAGCCGGCCUGGGAGGGUGACCGGCCACAAUGGGCCUGAGGUACGGCGCAGACUCGUACGGGAGGCAGCAGUGGGGAAUAUUGCACAAUGGGCGGAAGCCUGAUGCAGCGGCGCCGCGUGCGGGAAGACGGCCUUCGGGUGGUAAACCGCUUUCGCCUGUGACGAAGCGUGAGUGACGGUAAUGGGUAAGGAAGCACCGGCUAACUACGUG
rnacentral:rRNA from 1 species